AGGACGAACGCUGGCGGCGUGCUUAACACAUGCAAGUCGAACGGUGAACCAGGGCUUGCCCUGGGGAUCAGUGGCGAACGGGUGAGUAACACGUGACCAACCUGCCCUUGGCUCUGGGAUAACCCCGGGAAACCGGAGCUAAUACCGGAUACGAGUCCGUAUGGCAUCACACGGACUGGAAAGUUUUUCGGCAAAGGAUGGGGUCGCGGCCUAUCAGCUUGUUGGUGGGGUAAUGGCCCACCAAGGCGACGACGGGUA
rnacentral:rRNA from 1 species